UUUUCCAGGUAAUACGGGUAUAAAAUAAAAGUUAUAUAAAAUGUUUUUAUGACCCCUCCCCCACAAAAAAGAUACAGAAAGGCAGAAUUGUUAUGGAUAGAAAAAAAUAAAUAAAUAAAAAUAAUAAUAAUUUUGCUUCAAAUAUAAAAUUAUAAAAAAAAUAAAAUAAAUGGGAAAAGAUACCCAAAAAUAAAACAAAACAAAAAAAAUAUAAAACUGACUAAAGCCAUGACAAUUCAUAGCCUGUAAACAUAAUGCUGAAAAGCAUAAUACACUGCACUUUAAUUCCAGUGCAGUGUAAUAUAUGAGCGAUCAAAAGAUCACUCUUAAUUGCUCUCUUUAAAAAAAAUUAAGGGCUAUGUUCCCACUCAGGAAUUUUAAUCCGGAAUAAUUAUGGAUGAAAAUUCCACUGGAUCAUUGCCAUCCUCAUAGAUGGCAAUGUAUUCUGCACAGAUUACAUCUAAACAAAGUUAAAAAUAAAAAACGAACAAUUCAUAAAACCAUCAACCCCUACACCCGCAAAAUAUAUAUAUUUAUAGAAAACAAAACCAAAAGAUAUUUAACACCUUCAGUAUAAUGUUUAGAGGCAUAAAACAUUUACAAAAAUUAUUGAAAUGUUUUGUUCCUUUUUCGGAUGCAGUUUCAUAAUUCCUGAGAUAAGUAGUUCUGUCCCUAGAGUGUUAUAUAUAUAAGCGUCUGUAGCAUGUAUCAGGAACAUGUUAUCAUACCUGUGUCUUUUUAUAGGUGACUGAUGCCCGGUGAGAAGUUGAACGUGACACAUACCCCCGUCAGCUGCAAGAAAGGAACCGCGAGACAGGUGACUGAUGCCCGGUGAGAAGUUGAACGUGACACAUACCCCCGUCAGCUGCAAGAAAGGAACCGCGAGACAGGUGACUGAUGCCCGGUGAGAAGUUGAACGUGACACAUACCCCCGUCAGCUGCAAGAAAGGAACCGCGAGACAGGUGACUGAUGCCCGGUGAGAAGUUGAACGUGACACAUACCCCCGUCAGCUGCAAGAAAGGAACCGCGAGACAGGUGACUGAUGCCCGGUGAGAAGUUGAACGUGACACAUACCCCCGUCAGCUGCAAGAAAGGAACCGCGAAACAG